rnacentral:rRNA from 1 species
CCUUAACCUGGUCUUGACAUAGUAAGAACUUUCCAGAGAUGGAUUAGUGCCUUCGGGAACUUACAUACAGGUGCUGCAUGGCUGUCGUCAGCUCGUGUCGUGAGAUGUUGGGUUAAGUCCCGCAACGAGCGCAACCCUUUUCCUUAUUGCCAGCGGGUUAAGCCGGGAACUUUAAGGAUACUGCCAGUGACAAACUGGAGGAAGGCGGGGACGACGUCAAGUCAUCAUGGCCCUUACGACCAGGGCUACACACGUGCUACAAUGGUCGGUACAAAGGGUUGCUACCUCGCGAGAGGAUGCUAAUCUCAAAAAGCCGAUCGUAGUCCGGAUUGGAGUCUGCAACUCGACUCCAUGAGGUCGGAAUCGCUAGUAAUCGCGGAUCAGAAUGCCGCGGUGAAUACGUUCCCGGGCCUUGUACACACCGCCCGUCACACCAUGGGAGUUUGUUGCACCAGAAGUAGGUAGUCUAACCGCAAGGAGGACGCUUACCACGGUGUGGCAGAUGACUGGGGUGAAGUCGUAACAAGGUAAGCGUAGAUGA